ACGGGUGAGUAAUGCCUAGGAAUCUGCCUGGUAGUGGGGGACAACGUUUCGAAAGGAACGCUAAUACCGCAUACGUCCUACGGGAGAAAGCAGGGGACCUUCGGGCCUUGCGCUAUCAGAUGAGCCUAGGUCGGAUUAGCUAGUUGGUGAGGUAAUGGCUCACCAAGGCGACGAUCCGUAACUGGUCUGAGAGGAUGAUCAGUCACACUGGAACUGAGACACGGUCCAGACUCCUACGGGAGGCAGCAGUGGGGAAUAUUGGACAAUGGGCGAAAGCCUGAUCCAGCCAUGCCGCGUGUGUGAAGAAGGUCUUCGGAUUGUAAAGCACUUUAAGUUGGGAGGAAGGGUUGUAGAUUAAUACUCUGCAAUUUUGACGUUACCGACAGAAUAAGCACCGGCUAACUCUGUGCCAGCAGCCGCGGUAAUACAGAGGGUGCAAGCGUUAAUCGGAAUUACUGGGCGUAAAGCGCGCGUAGGUGGUUCGUUAAGUUGGAUGUGAAAUCCCCGGGCUCAACCUGGGAACUGCAUUCAAAACUGUCGAGCUAGAGUAUGGUAGAGGGUGGUGGAAAUUUCCUGUGUAGCGGUG
rnacentral:rRNA from 1 species